UCGGGGACCACGCCAAGUGGUACAAGAGCUAUUUGGGGACCUAUGUCGCUACCGUCCCACAUACUUACGAGUCGUGGGAUCAGGUGCCCCAGCCCAUCAAGGAUGAACUUACUGACUGGCUUAUGAGACGGUUCUACUUAGAACCAUAUCUAGGUCACCCAGAAAAUCACCCGUUACGAGAGGCCGUGACCAGGAUGAUACGUCAGGAUGCCCUGAAGAUCUACAGGGAUAAAAAAGCAAAUUCAAGAAGACUUGGUUCACUGACAGGGGUGGGUCCCAGAGGCUGGCAGAACUGGAGGGUCAACCUCCGUAUGGGAUGCCUCCACAGGCGUGGAGUUAUCUACUGGGUUACUGGACCAGCGAGCCCCGGAUGAUUGCUGCCCAAAGAAACACGACAAACAGGCAGCAACAAAAUACUUUUGUCAGUACUCACGGUCGGCAGUCAUACGCUCAGCGUGAAUGGCGUUACGCUGAAGAUAAUGACGGGCGACGUGAGGAGCCGCCCGAGUUUUAUUUGCGGGCCCACACGAGACGAGAUGGGAUGGUGCAGGACGCAGUUAUGCCCAUUUAUGUAAGAUCUUGCACAAA